GAUGAACGCUGGCGGCGUGCCUAAUACAUGCAAGUCGAGCGAACAGACGAGGAGCUUGCUCCUCUGACGUUAGCGGCGGACGGGUGAGUAACACGUGGAUAACCUACCUAUAAGACUGGGAUAACUUCGGGAAACCGGAGCUAAUACCGGAUAAUAUAUUGAACCGCAUGGUUCAAUAGUGAAAGACGGUUUUGCUGUCACUUCUAGAUGGAUCCGCGCCGCAUUAGCUAGUUGGUAAGGUAACGGCUUACCAAGGCAACGAUGCGUAGCCGACCUGAGAGGGUGAUCGGCCACACUGGAACGGAGACACGGUCCAGACUCCUACGGGAGGCAGCAGUAGGGAAUCUUCCGCAAUGGGCGAAAGCUUGACGGAGCAACGCCGCGUGAGUGAUGAAGGUCUUCGGAUCGUAAAACUCUGUUAUUAGGGAAGAACAAAUGUGUAAGUAACUAUGCACGUCUUGACGGUACCUAAUCAGAAAGCCACGGCUAACUACGUG
rnacentral:rRNA from 1 species